GCUCUGUAAUUCAUGAAAAAAUAUAAUGCAAUUGAAGACUUCAAUAUUAAAUUGUACAUGUUACUAUUGUUAAAUGGUAUAAAAGCUGCUUUAUUUUCAAAACUGUGAUUUUGGAUUCUAGAUUGAUUUAUACAGGAAAAUACAAAGGCAAUAGGUGUUUGCUUCAGAAGGAACGAAACCCUGGAUGUGCAUGUAUACAGCAAAGAACUUGCCAGUCAAGAUGAAAAAACUUCUUCUAAUGGAAUCCAGCUUGAAAGCAACUCAAGAGCAGCUAAGUGAGCAAAUAGCAGAAACAGUUCGCCAAGAACAGAACAGUAGAAAAUCACAGACGGAGAGCUGAAGACCUUGAGAAAACAUAUUCUAACUUCUGAAGAAGAAAUUAGUAAUUACAAAGACACGAUGGUGUGCACCAUAUGGAGCUGCAACUGAGGCAGAAGAUCUCCCAUCCGUCACAAAAGGUUCAUUUUGUUUAUUAUUGCCAAACUUAUGACUGAAUAAUCCCUAUUUUGUUUCAAAGAAUCAGGAAAAGUGUGGAGGACUUAAAGGUAAGAAUAACAACAUCAAAGAAAGAGGAUAAGUAGCAAUUUUCUCAAGACCUCAGUGUCCUCUGGUCCUAGAUAAAGUAGAAUUAGUCUCAAUCAAGUGAAGAACUAGAAAUUUUGAAGUAAGUUUCUUCCUAUGCAUGGAAAAUUAAUGCAUUAUUUAGCAAACUGAUUAAUAGCAGUAUCAGAUUUUAAUCACAUUCUAGGCUCCAAUAUUUCAAACAUAUGUGAAUGCAAGUCACAGUUUCACAGUUUUGUGAAACCAAUUACCCUAUAAAUAUGUGAAAAGCUGUUCACAAGCUUCUAAGAUUGAAGAUGAAAACUUUUCUAAGGAUCACUUAUGAUUUUGUUUUGUAGUUGCGAUGUUGUAUUAUAAAAGUAUUGAAUUGUGAUGUAGGAUUACAGGAAAUCUUCAAAAUAUCUGACUGUAUUUUAAUUUAGGUAAAUUUAAUAGAAAUCCAAAUUAGUGUUUGUGUGUAUGAUUUAGUUAAAGAACAGGGAAAUGGUAUUCCCUCUUCUGAACAUUUGUUGAGAUAUUAAAUAACAUUAGAGUAGUAUUUCAGUAAGUUUUAUGUGUUCUAGGUAGAUAAUCCCCUAAAUGCCUAGGACUGUACAUAUCAUGUUAACUGAAUUUCUAGAUUUUCUAUAUAGUUUCUUUCUUCCUUUCUAUUUUGAUAUAUCCAUGCUAAGACUUCUUACAGUUGUGGUAACCUUUUCAUUACGAAUUAGGCAAGGCAAAUUUAAAAACUUUUAAGAAGUAAAAAACUUGAAAUGUUUUAAGUGUUUAUUAAAUAAAUUAGAUGCAAAAUAUAACAAAAUGUUUCUUAGAGCAUUUUUUUACACUGCACAAAUUCAGGACUAAUUAUAGUUCCCAGUUUUAAUCAGUCAAUUCUAAGGUUUAUUGUGAUAUAGCUGAAGGCUGCUUGACUCCAUUACUUUAUCUUUUUCUCUAAGAGAAAUUGCAAAUCUGAAGUAUUUUAAUAAGCUUGUGCCAUUUAUUUUGAUUUUUAAUUUCUAACUAUUAAUGGAAAAACUAAGACAUUAAGUAAAUAAAAAUUUGUGUUUAUUGACUUUGAAAUUAUCUAUGGUACAAAUAUUUAAAAAAAACCCCAAAAACAAAAAACAAAAAACCACCAAAAAACCAAAAAAAACCCACCAAAAACCUAAUAUCUGUUCAAGAAUAGGAUAUGAUCCUACACAUUUGAGUCCUCCCAGACACUAUAGUUAUGACUGAGAAAAGCUGAAUUGAUUGCAAUGGAAAUCUACCUGACAGUAAGUAUUUGCAGUGGCAGACAAAAUUAUUUAAGAAAAGAGAAUAUAAAAUUAAGAAAGACAGAUGGACUCAUAAGAGUGAAAUACAAAUAGUCUGAAUCAGGAUUGAUUUCAACAUAAUGUGGUGGUGGAAUCCCCACUUAUUGAUCAACUUUAAAGCCCAUGCACAGCACUUAAAAAGAUAAAGUAAGCAAGGUCAGAUAAUCAAAGCAUUUAAAUAGUAAAAACAGCAACUGCCACUGUAGACUGCUAAAAUAAAUCCAUAAUACAAAUUGUUUUAGCAAAAAGUGGAUGAGCAGCUGAUCUUCCUAUUGAACUUUUAUACUGUUCAGUGACCACACUGGGGAGAGGAUUGGAAGAAAUGCCUUGAAGAUCAAUAUUGAGUGAGAGGUAGCAGGGAUUCAUUCUGAACAUGAAAGAAUUACGACUAUGAGAGUAGAAAUCCUGAGGAAAUGUCAUCAAGGAAGGACCGAUCUUUUAAAAUAUCAGACAUUUUAUAUAAGCAUAGUAUGAUUUGAUAUCCUGCUAUGAUCUUUGAGCAUUCAAAGCUUAUUAAAAGAGAAAUUUACUUAUUGAAAAAAAAAUACGACUAAUGACUUCAAUGAAAUUAGUUCUAAGAUUUCAGUAACCUCUGUCUUCAAAACUAGGGGAAUUUUAAUCUUCUUAAUUAUUAUGGUGUUCAGUUGAGGCUGCUACUUUCCAGCCAUAAGUAUUUCAAGUUUUUGCUAAAUAGGAAUAAAGAACCAGAAUAUUGUAAUUUUUAUCUUUUUUUGAUAUUUUUGUUUUUUUCAAAGAUCAACAUGCACCUGUAAUUAACAUGUUUAAUGUAAGUGCUAUUUCUUCAGUUCUAUUUGAAAUACUAUUUUUGCAGACAUUUUAAUUAUUCUGUGGAAACUACAAUGCAAGUGCUUCAAAUUUCAGUUUUUCCUAAACCUAUAUGGAAUUUUCAUUUUAAAAUAGGUGUUAAAAUAUCUUUUAUUUAUACAUUACUUUGUCAGCACUAUUCAAAGAGUAUUUGUGUGAAAGAAAUACUGGAGGUGGAAGUACUACAGUAGCUCAUUGUUUCAAAUAUGUUGUUUUCAUUCACUGUUUUAUUACAUAAUUGUAUGAGAAACACUGUAUUUUCAUAGAUAUAUUAUCCCUUUAAAAUGAAGAAUCCUUCUUUUUUCUUUAUUUUUGACCGUGAUCUUCCUUUACUUUCAGGCUCAUUAUCCCACCUAUCAAAAUGGUGCUAUUGUUGGAAAUUAAUAAUCCAAGUAUUUGUAUUUUAAACAAUAAAAAAGGAACACUAAAACUAGAGUGUUUCAAGGAUAUAGAAAAUAUAUUAAAAAAGAAAAAAAAAGUAAAGUGAGCAUUUAUUUUCUCUUAGAAGAUCUUCUUUGAUAAAAUACUUUAGAGUAACUGAUUCCCAAAAUCAUGAAGUUUGUUCGCUAUGGUAACUGUACCAUGCACCUUCUUGUAAUGCAUAAUUAUUUACAAGCACUAUUGGCUCGAUUUUGCUGUAUGAAUUGCUGAUUACAGCAAUUUCAAUGGUAAAAUUGUGAAAAACCAUAUUCAUAGCUGUCAAAGAAAGGUCAGCUUAUUUGCAUUCAUUAGGAACUUGGAGGACCAUACCACAUGCUUUUCCUCUGGGAUUCUUACAGUUAUUGAUUUGUAUACAGCUGUAGGAAAAUUAGUUGGAAUUAUAUUUCACUUACCACUGGAGGCUGUAUAUUAAUAACAGUGGAGUUCUAUAAGAAAAAAAUUGAACCAGCAAAUUAAAUAAUUGUCAUUUUUAAAAAGUAAAAUUGUUAUAUUUAACUUGUUAAAAUAAUACCUUUUGAAUAGCUGGAGGAAAUAUUUUAGUGAACUUAUGUUAAUACUCAGUACUUUUAUUUGCACAAAAAUGCAUAGGCAUUUAUAUUAACGUGACAUAAAAUAUUCAAAACUUCCUAUUUAGUAGUGGUCUUUACAGAUGCUUGUAAACCAAGACAAUAUGCUUAGCCUUCCUUAUAUAGUGAAAUUUUCUUUUAUACCUGUAUAAUCACUAUCCCCAAAAUUUAAAAUAUGAAUUAUCCUGUCUUAAAAAAAAUCCUACAUUUGUUCUCUAGGCAUUAAAGACCCCUCAAUAUCAAGAGCUGUGUAAAAUCAUAAGGAAAUAUUAUCACCAUCCUUGACUAUCUUUAGGUAUAAAAAACUAUGGCUAAUGUCUUCAAAAAUGUCUACAUGGGUAACAUACCAACAAUGUGAGGUCAGGUAAAGCACAUUGUCAAACUGUUACAAACCUUUGUCUAAACGGAGAGAACUUCAGAUUUAAAGAUAGCAAUGAUGAUCAGGUGGUAUGCAUUUGAAACCUUGUUUGUAUUACAUUGAUAAAUACUGUACAUGAUUAGUGCAUAUUUCUGUGAACUUUUAACACUUUAAAAGGAUUAGAAUGUCUUAUUUUGAUCAUAUCCAUAUUGUUCAUUAAGAUAAGAUUAGGUCCUUAAAAAAUGUUUGGCUUGUUUCCAUUACACUCAAAAAUGUUUAAAGUAGAAAAUUUAGAAUACAGUUUUCCAUAGUGUGCAUAUAUAACACAUGUUUGAGAUUAAUCAAAUCAUGGUCACCUCUAAUUAACAGCAGGGAGCAAUUCCAACAUGGGACAGGGCCAGAUGACUAAGAAAUGAAGCAUAUAUUUAAAAGAUGCAGCGUACUAAGAAAAGAAAAAUAGGUUAUGACUUAUGACUUAAAAAUACUGCAAAGUUUUAAACCUGUGGUUCUGUGCAUGUGGUUGAAACACUUUAUUUUGCCUUUUUUUUUUUAGCUGAGCCAGAAAUUUUCAUAACCCUACAAUUUUGUAGGUAAACAAAGUUUUCUUUCAAAGUUAAUUCUUUGCCUUAUUCAUAAUUAAUAGAUUUAAAAAAACCCCCGAACUUUGCAACUUCAGAUGAGCAGCUUUUUAUUUUCAAAUUUUUAUUUUCUAAAAAUGCCUGAUUUGUAUGCCAAAAUUCUCUGAUUUACCAUGACAUUUGCUUAAUACCACAGGAAAAGCAGUGAUCAAGGACAUAUAUUGAAAUAAAUUGAAUCUUUCCUCCUAUUUUUAUUUGGGUUGUUUGUUUGUUUGUUUGUUUUAAAUAGGAAGUUUUAUAGCUGAUGAAGAAGAAAACUCUAGGAAAAGAAAUGUCAUUGAGCGAUGAAGACAACUGGAGACUUAGACACUUUCCUGUCCUUUCCUUUAGACACAAUGAAGAUACUAACUCUAAAUUUUCUGAAUAUCCAGUGUGAGAUGCUGCUGUCUGAUCUGUAGCAAACUGAACUUUGCCAAGAAUUUCUGUGGCCAAUGUUAAUUUGCUUUGAACAGUUAAAAGUCCUUACAGAUAAGAAUUAAGAAGAGACAUGAGAAAACAAGGUUCACUUGUGAACUGUCUCUGACUGGGAGUUUGUGCCAAGGUCAUUCUCAUUGCAUUUAGGACAAUAACUCCUGAGCACAUGCAAGCUGUUCUGUCUCUGAGUGAUUCAAUAACUGCUAAACUUGCCUAUGAAAAGGGGAAAGCUUUACAAGAAAGUCUGGAGACCAAUUCCUUUUAGAUCAACAUGGAAUAAUGUUAGUUCAAAUGGUUAGUUCAAAAUAAAGGAGAAAUUAUUCUCUGUUGUCGUAUAUCCCAAAUGAGAGCUCUGAUAGAAAGCAUUUCACAAUUUAUUUUUGUUUAAUGUGAGGCUCCUUAUCUUUUACCCCAUUUUCCCAAAUCCUUUUACUUCAGCUGCCUAUGCAUAAAAUGAUAAUAGAGAUGUAUUCUCAUAUCAUGUAUGCUGAUAUUUAUGAAGCACUCAGACACCAUUGGGUUUAAAAUCAGUGGCUUUAUUUAUGUUGUCUUUUUUGUUGUGUCACAAUGUGAGCUGUGUUUCUCACUUUAAGUCACGUAAGCUGCUGUAUAGAGACAUUAGCUGUAGGCUGCAGAUUCAUAAUUUGCCGUUGAAUGGACUAGAAUUUCGUUCCAGGGUCUUGUUUUGGACUUAAUUAUUUUGUGGAGUGUCCAUGAUUUUUAAAAAUAAUUACAUGAGUAUUAAUUUGUAGGUUUUGGAAACUCAGAUAAAGUGAAAGAUAUUUUUUCAUCCAUAUCAACACUUGAAUAUUGUACUUUAUACACUAAAAGAUAAAUUAAAAGAAAUCAAAAUGUUUAAGUAUUUGUCCGCUAAUUGAUAAAAGACAUAAUACAAAUUGGGUGUUUAAAGGAAAGCAUAUUAUCAAAUUAUAAAUCUAAAAACAUGUAAAUAUGCUUACAUAUGUUAGACAGACAUUAUUACACUUGACAACAUUAAUUCUGAUGUAUUUGGAAUGCUGAAUAUUUGAAUUUGCCACACUAAUGUUUUUUUAAAGUAAAAUCAGCAUCAGAGCCUGCUUCCAAGUCAAAGAGAAUUCAAGAGGCACCCAACUUAAAAGUAAAAUUGGAUUCACCUCUUUUAUAUGAAUAUUUUUCAGAAGGAUCACCUGUGAAGGGGUUCCUUGCUCGGUAUUCUGUAUUUUCUGACUUAAUCAGAUCAGACUAAGAUUUGGCAGUAGUUUCUCUAGCAGGGAAGCCACAAGGUAUCAAAAAAAACCCAGGAUAAGUAAGGGCCAUAGCACAGCACUGACCUUAGGAGACAAGAACUUUUCAGCAGAAUAGAUGUAGAACUUAGACAGAUGAUAGUGCACACUCUCUCCAUGCACAUUAUUUCAUGUAUUUAUUUGUUAAUAUCUUCCUUAGAAAUAUAGAUAAAAUUUUCAUUUACACAUUUCAAGAUAAUUUGGCCUUGAGCAAAAACCCAGAAAGACAAAUUUCAAUCCAAACAGAUGAAGCUGAGCAAAGCUCUAGGAAACUCAAAACCAUGUCCAAUAAUGGAAAAUUUCGUGGUAGGUGGAAGAAUAAUAGACAACUGUAAUGGCACCCUGACAAUCAAUGAAGCUACAAAAACUGAAGUUUUUUUUAUGACAUCAGCUUGCUGAAACUGGCGAGUGUGAAGAGGAUUUUUUUCUCAUAGACAUCAACUGAAAUUGAACAUAACAAAUUCUAAUGAAGAAAAUUUAACCUUGAGGUAAAAAUAAUACUGCCUUGCCUAUACUUUUCAGAAUUAUUUAUUAGCCCUUCAAGGAUAAACAUCAUCAAUAUAAUGCAAAAAUUCAUAAUAAUUUUCUAAAGCUGGGAAAUAAUCUUGUUAUUUUUCAUUAAUUUUUUUUUCAAAAUUGUAUUCAGAUAUUUAUAAGGAAUGGACUGGAAUUUGUCAUCUAUUGCUGUCUUCAGUACGAUCUGCAACAGCGAGGACUUUCUUCUAGAACCAAGAGGAGGAUUGAGAGAGUGCCAUAGUCCUGUUUGAUUUUACCUUUAAGUUAAUUGAUUUACAUUAAUUUGGAAUUCCCUUUCAGAUGGAUAUUUCAGUUGUCAGAACUCAUAAUGGCAAUAUAAAUUUUCUUUUUAAGUCUGGUAACCCUUAAGAUUACAUGAGAGCCCUUCUUAAGGCUAAAAGAACUUUUGGCCUGCAAAAAAACACUUGAAUGCUUUGAAGUAGAAACUUUUAUCGUAGGACAUGACAAUACUGAGUCCAUCCUUUUUGUUAUAGACUUUUCACCAAACUUGAGUAUUUUCUUGUAGAUUGUAGUGUUGACAACUGUUAGCCAACUCAAUUCCUAUAAAAAAUGAAUGGAAUUUGUGAGAGGCUUGGUUGAUUUUGUUUUGGUUUCGUGGGGAGUAUGUUUGUUUGUUUGUUUGUUUCUGCAGCUGUUGUGGCCCACUUCGCUUGGCGCUUUAAAGGGAAGGUUACUUGAUUUGCUCUGAGUGGCACAAAGGAAAAACAACAAAACUCUUGGGUGGUUCAAACUGUAUCAAACUUUUACUUCCAAAAUUUAGAAUAUUUAAGGCAAAACAAAGUACUCGGCAAGUUCAAAAUGCAGCCAUUUUUGUUAGACAAUCAAUAAUAAAAAGCACAAAGCUAACUUGAGAAAAUGCAUAAGAAAAAAGGAGAAAAAGUGAAAGAAAGUAUAAAAGUAACAAGGUAUAGAAUCACCACCUGUGGAUCCAGAAAAGAGACCUGAUUGUUGAAAUUUGAGGUCUCUUGGUCAAAGCGAUGUUGCAGUCCUGAUCCACCAGGGGUGGGGGAAGCCUUCAGUUUGGAGUGAGAAAAGUAGUGCAAUAUUUAAUACCUAAUGAUAUUUCUGGAUGAAAAAAAAUUACAAAUUUUAAAGAAUGCACGAACAAUAGCUGUGGUGGUAACACCUAACUGUUAUUUAGCAAUUUACAUUCAGAGAUGUUAUAUUUUGCUAAGGAUGUAUAAUUUAAGCCAUUUUUUAAAAAGAUUACUAGAAUUUUGUACAGAUGCAUGUGUAUUUAUGUAUUUAUUGGGGAAUAAAACUGAUUUUUAUAGAUUGGGACUUUGGAGCACAAGAUAGUGAAGGGUCUUAGGUAUCAGCAAAGAUAAAAAGAACAAUACCAUUUGAAUAAAGGAACAUGAAAAAGAUCAAUUUAUAACAGCAAAUGAGUAUGGGAAUCCACAGGAGCCACCUAUUCUACAGAAACUCUCUGUAGGAUAUGAGAGUUCAUGAGAAAAAGGCAGUCCUUUUCAAAAUUUUUCUUUCCAUGAGAAAGGCAACAGGCUACUUGGUGUUUAUUAAAGGGAAAAAAUGCACACAUUCUGACAAUUUUUACUGUUUUACUCUACUGUAUUUUUCUUGCCCACUCUGUAGGUCUGGAUUAAACUCAUAUUCUAUUGAUAAAGCCAUGCAAACUCAAGAAAACUAGUUUUCUCUUCCUCCCCUUCUCUGCAUAUGUAUUUAUAUAGAGAUAUGUCUUUUUUGUUUGUUUAUUCAUUUUUACUUCUGACUCAACACAGCUGUGUAAAAAUAGUGUAGUUUGAGUGCUUAUGCUUUUCAUCCCUGUAAUUAAUACACAGGAAAGAAAGCAUUGAGAUAAGUGGAACAAUACAAUAAAAUGUUGCCUUAAACCGGAUACUUUUAGAAAAAGAAAUAUUUUGCAGGAAUGAAAGCUUUUCCAUCUAAAUGAUACCAUGUAAUCUAAACUGGUUUUAAGCUAAAAAAGCAUGCAAAUCACAGAAAAACUGGAAGAAGGGAUUGGCUAGACAGAAGAGAAACCCUGCCAUUUGCAGGAGGAGCUUUUAGAAGAGCAGUCCCAGGUGAGAAUUUUCCAGCUGGACUACGGCUCAGAGAAAAAAUUGAUAAAAAACUACAGUACUCAGGUAAUAGCCUCAGUACACUAUAUGAAACUGUAGCUUAAUAUUUGAAUUAAUGUAAAUGAAUGUUCCUAGCUUAUUAUUCCACCAGAAAAGGAAAUAUUAUUUAAAUAACAUUACCUGUACAAUUCACUUUCAGUGCAUGAGAGUCAUUACUGAAAAUAUUUAGUCAACAUGAAAGAACAUUACUUCUUUUUAAAUUCUUGUGUGUGGGAUUCAUCUUGUCUAACUUUAGAUUUGCACUUUAGGUGGAAAUACAGGAGGGAGGUCCCUAAGUUCCCAUUAUGGUUGUUGGAGACUUUAUCAAUUCAGAGAGUGCAAGCAAGAGCUGAGCCAACAUCAAAGCAAUCAAGCAUUGGUUGCUAGUCUAAAAAAGUCUUCAGACAAACACUCAACCAGGCCUCCACUCAAUGCAAUGGAAGAAUAUCUAUGCAGUCACACAUAACCAACUAAAUGCAGAUGCACAAAUUGAUGAUCUGGUGAGUUACCUUUUCCCAAAAAUUCAUUGAAUUCUCCAAAUUAUUUUAUUUAUUUAUUUAUUUGUUAUUAUUAAAUGUUUCACAGGCAUUAAUACAGAUCAUUGCUCUGAAAAAUAAUAUAUAAAUACAAGGAUUUAAAAGGGAGUGAUUAAUGACAAAGAGGAAAAAAUAAAAUAAUAGAUGAUCUUUCCUGUGUCUGUGUCUUUUAUUGUUUAUAUUUAGGGUCAUUUUUUCUCUUGUAUUUGGGUUUGUUUCUUUGGUUUUGACAGUAUAUUUUUUUAACAGAAAAAAAAAGGAUGACAGAAUGUAAGACAUGAGAAAGUGGGCAAAUGGAAAAAAUGGUAGAAUAACUAAUACUCUUUUCCACCCUACUGUUGCCAUACCAAAUCAAUGUAGAUUGAUUAUUUUCUGUAUUAUUUCACUAAAGAAGUGUAUUAAUUCUGGAGCUUGACUGAACUUUGAACAGAAAGAAUAUAAUAAUGUUUAUUUAACUGAAAUUUGUUGCCACCUGUGAACCAGAUGGUUGCAAAAUGUUUCCAUUGAAAAUAUUUAAACAUUCAGAGGCAAAAUAAACAAGAUAACAGGUUGGAUAAAAGAAAUAUAUUUUCAUUUUUGAAGGUUUCACUACAUGUAAUUUCAGUGGAAAUAGUAGUUGAAGAAUUACUACACAAAAUUUAGAUUAAAUUUUUCACUUAUUUUUAUGAUCUUCUCUAUUUCCAGUGUUUCUGACAUAUAACCCAUCAGGGUACUAAAAAAAACCAAUUAUAUACAGUAAAUUUGUAGUAAUUUACUUGAAUAAUUAUAUAAUAAUGAGGUGAUUUGAGAGAAAAGAAAGAUUUAAUGAAGAAGUAAAUAUGCAAUGAAAAUCAAAUCAAACAAGUGAAAUAGUUAAUCAUGCUAACACUUAGAUUAUCAAUGUAUCAUCAUGGUAAUUUUUUUAUGCAUGUGGAUUCUUCCCGAAUAGAGGCAGAUUGCCGCUGGGAGCAACUGGUGCCACUAAGCUUCCAAAUUAGUCAGUUCUCCUGCUAAGUAGCUUGGGAAGGUAUGCUGAAGGUUUCAUCUUUCUAAAGGCUCUAUUUAUUAUCUUUACUUAUGUAAAGAGUUCAUUAGAAAUAAUUUUACAUUGAAAUAUGGCAACUUUUUAGCCUCCUUUAAUGCAGUCACGCGCCUUUAACUAGCAGACAUAAAACUGCUUAAUUCUGCGGAUAUUAAUGGAUUCAUAUGUCAUAAAGCCAGAAGAAACAGUGUAAUCGAGUCUCAUAUGUGACACAAUACAGGCCACAGGACUUCAGUGAAUUAAGUGGUACGUCAUGUUGAAGUAAAUGUGACUGAAAUGGAGCAUAUUAAAAUACAGCAUACAUUUUUUUAAUACAUUCUUGACUUAAAAAAGCCACUGAAACAGAAUUUGUGACAAUCCUUCAUAGGUUCUCUCAAUAAAUCCGGCUUCUGAAUACAUGCAAUAUGGUGAUUCUUUAUAAUUUUAGCCUCUUACUCAAAAUGUCAUAUGAAACUUAAUACAGAACUAAAGCAUAUUAUCUUUUCAUCUUAAUGAACAGUACCUGAAAUCUCUUAAAACCAAUACAGCUCAUAGGAGGACAAGCCGUGUUUACAGUACAGACCGAGUAAUUUUUAGUACUUAUAUUAAUCUAAUUAUAUUAAUCUACAUGUGUUCUUUAUAUCUACAGUCAAUGAAAAUUAGUAUGGAUUUAUUAUAUCAGUCCUUCAAUAGUUUGAGUGGAAUAGAUUAGUAAAUGCCAGAGCGGAGUUAUUUGAAUCUCACAGUUAGACCCAAAAAAGUAUUAUCAGAGAAUUAGUAGAGCAUUAUAGUAUUAGUUUCUACUUCUUAAAAAACCUCUCACAGUUUCUAAGACCAUACAGCCUAAAAAUGGUCUAGAAUUUUUAUUUUUAAGAACUCUCCGAACCUUUUUAGGAAUUCUACAUAGGGAAGAAAAAAUCUAUGUGUACUUCUGUGACUGCAAGAGUUUUUGUACUAAACCAUGUACUGUGAAUUCCAUCAUUACUUUUGGUUUCUUAAGUGUCUUCUUUUUUGAUGGGAGAGAGAUCCAGAUGUAUGUAAUGCCAUUGAGCAAAUUACAGAAAGGAUCUUAUUUUUAUACUCAAAUUAUUUUGAUUAAUUACAUCCCACUUAUUUUUUUUUUUCUCUUAAGAUACUAUUUGUGCACAUAUGCACAGUGUCAUAUGAGUUUUUCCGUGCAAAUAAAUGUCCAUGCUAAUGUCUAUAUACAAGUUGUCACAUAAAAUUUAUAACAACUUUAGGACAUGUUUGCACCUCAAAAUAUGGCCUGCUCAAGAUCCCUCUUGCCAGAAGAAUUACUAACUUCUAGUUUUGUAAUUAAUUAUUACUCUUGUUUUUUAAAUUGAUUGAACCAAUCAAAAAUAGAAUCAUUCAUAAUUUAAAAAAUUAGUUUUAUUAUUGAUUUUGUUUAUCUGUGGGGGGGGUGUUUUUUUUAAAUGUUUCAAGGAAUACUUUGGCAAGCAUAUUUUAGCAUCUCCAAUUCACUAAUUUUCUAUGAAGUUUCUGAGAAGAGCUCAACUUUUUUCUUCCAAGUCUAGUUCUAAACCCCAUGUUUUUAAAGUUUUCAUAAAGUUAAUUUUAAAUGUUCAGAAGUCUGGUAACUUAAAAUAGCUUAACUUACCUUGCACCAGAUUUUCUCAUCAUGUUUUUGAGAACAUUGCUCCAUUACAGAUUUCUAAGUCAGUAGCAUUAAGAUAUCAAAUGUUUCUAAGCCGAUCAAAUUACUUAAAUGGCUCAUUUGUUUAUUUGUUUGUUUGUUCCUGGCAACAAUGAUUAACUGGUAUAGUGAUUAUGAGAACAGCAUUUCACAGUGUUAGUAUUCCAUUUGAACUUAUAAGUAAUUUUCUGUCAACAGCAUUAUUAGUAAGCUUCUGUGCAUAAUGUUACUCCAAGAAAUCUUAUAAGUAACUUCAGAUUUUAAACUGUAUGGGCUAUAUCUAUCUAAAUAAGCAAUAUGUAUCAAAUUAUUCUUUUUGAUUUUGUUUCCCUAGAACAAAAAGCUUCUGUCAAAAGUGAAAAUUUCUUUACUUUUCUAGUGGAAUUCCUUUUCAUUGUUAUGGAUUCAUAAGUAAGCAAUUUCACAUUUUAUUACAAAAUAAGUAGAGGCAGGUGUCUAGAAGAUGGGGAGAAUGGCAUACUCAAUUUCCUUGUGGCACAUAUUAAAGUUUUAGGAACAUAUUUGCCUGGCCUUCUGCUGGAUUUAGUCAAACUUCAGCUGAUGGGUAAGUAAGCACUGUAUAAACAUUUUCUUUGUGGUGCCAAAGCUGAACUUCUCUUCAUUCAGACUUCAUGAUUUCUUCAUUUUUGCAUAUAGUUGAGUGUUGUUAGCAACCAAUAUAGGAAAAAACAAACUGUCAAUAAGAAAAGGCAAAUAAAGCAUGAAAAAGCCAGACAUUGUGUUACACAUUGUUUUAAUACAGAAUAAGCAAUAUCUAAUAAAAAAGUUCCAUUGGCUUCCUUGUUGGUAUUUAGUGUUACUGUUACUCUAACAAUAGCUAUUAUAUUGCAAUCUUUUUUUGUGUUUGCUGAAAGACCAUAAGUUUUACACAUCUUCUAACUGCUCUAUUUCUUUGAAACAUAGCUUUAUCUUUUGAAAGGAUAAUAUACCCAAGUAACAGCAGUAAGCUGGCUGCAGGUUAAAAUGAAUUCUAUUCAAGGUGAUGUAACUACCUGUACAAAGUGGAAUUAAGGGUAUAUGAUCCGCUUUUGCUUCAUUGCAUGCUUAGUGUAGUUGGGCAAUUUAGGUUUAUAAAAACGCUUCUGAGUGAGCACCAAAAAAAGAAUCUGAGAGUCAUGGCUAUGAAGACUCUUCCUUUCAUUUCUCCUUAUUAUUUUUUAAUCAGAACUAUUGCUUGUAAGUCACGUGAGACCAAUCUCCAAAAUGCAUGCCAAUGAAUAAUUUACUCCUGAUUUGGUACAAUCUCAGGAGUCAUUCAGGAAACCCACAUGAUGUAUGCUGCUAAGUAGCAACCUGAAUGAGGAGUGCAUGCUGCUGCUCUGCCAUUUCUGCUUACAUAAAUUUUAACUUCUAUAUCUGAAAUACUUUAUAGAUUAUGUUUUAAUUUAAUUUAUACUUCCCUUAAUUCCUCAAUAAUUGUUCUCUUUUCCAGAUUAAUUUUAGGAAAUCUAUAGACAACUCCAUGCAAAUUCCUUGUUUCAAAAUGGAAAUAUCUGGAAUUAUAGCCUCUAUAUACUUAGACACCUAACAUUCUAUGUACUGUAUCUAUUCUACAACAAUUUAUGUUUACAUAAAUUGGGAUAUAGAAUAGUUUAUGUCUUUUAUGUAAUAUAAAAAAGUUAUGUACUUUUAUCUUCUAGGUCAAAUAUAAUUGAAAAAAUAUCUCAGUCUUGCUAAAUUGAGUUUACAAUGCAAAAGGUAACUACACAAUGAAGUAAUGUUAAUUUGGAGAAAACAUUAUGAUAUGAGAGGAACUUGAGUGGGAAACCAUGUAGGCUAGUACCACUUACCUCUUUCUAUGCUGUCAAGAUGUGCACACAAUUUCUGUUACACUUGUGGAUUUAGAAAAGAUCACACUCCUGUAAGGUUAUAGCUGCUGGAACCAUUCCACAACCAUUGUGAAAAUUAAAGAAUUGAAGUAUACAAUUUCUAUUUCAUUUUUCAUCAUCCAUAUUAAAUAUGCUUAUAGAUGGCAGCCAGAUAAUAUUUUAUAUGAGGGAAAAAGCCCUAAGUUUUCAAAUAUAUCAUCCAUAUGUCUGAUUUUUAAUUUCCUUUCUUUGAAUAUAUUUGCCAAUAAAAUACCCAGUGAAUUUGACAAAGUCUUUUUAUUUUUGGGGAAUAUUAGGUCAUGCCUGCAGAUGGGGAAGAGCAGGGGAAAAGAAAAUGUUAUACAUUGAGAAAACAUUAUGAUUUCAUGCUAUGUGUUCUGAUGCAGAAAAAAAUCCAAAAUUGUCUAGUUCCAUGCAUUCAGCUAGAUUUAGGAAAAGAUCUUUUAAAACAGAAAUUGAAGUAAACAUGCAUAUACAUACAUAUAAUGUUUAUGUACCUUUCCUGCAAAAGAAAAUGUGCAUUAAUAUUCACAUUUGAAAUCCAAGGUAUGUUGAAAUUACUAAAAUAUUCAAUUAGCAGGAGGGAAGAAAAUGUCAUAUUUUGAUAUUCAGGAACCUCUAGAUAUCCAUAAGAAACUGUAAAAUUAUGAUAUUUUACAGGAGGUCAGAAAUUACAGACUGACCUUGUGCCUAUUUUGGUGUCAAGACUCUGUUUAGUCAUCAAAUAAUGAGAAAUGGACCUCCUGCAAAAAAGAUCAGUUAAGAUCCGCUGAGAUUUGCUGCAUGCAGUGCUUCCCUCUUUUCUUCAAAGAAAUGUAUUUAAAGGGAUGAGUUUUAUGAAUAAUUAUUAAAAAGGCUGCAAGGGGCCAUUUAAUACAUAGGAGUAUAUAUAUGUAAUAUAGCAUGAAGAAUCCUGAACUCCUCUGGAAAAGAAUACUCAGGAUUUAAAAGGGCUUAAGUUUUUGAGAAGAUAACUGUAUGUUCAUAGAGUGAUAGAAUCACGGAGUGGUUUGGGUUGGAAGAGACCUUAAAGAUCACUUACCUCCAACCCCCUGUCAUGGACAGGGGCACCUUCCAUUAGACAGGCUGCUCCAAGCCCCACCCAACUUUUCCUUGAACCUUCUUAGGGAUAGAGAAACCACAGCUUCUCUGGGCAACAUAUUCCAGUGCUUCACCACCUGCACAGUAAAGAAUUUUCUCUUAAUGCAUAAUCUAAACCUACUCUAUUUCAGUUUGAAGCAUUUCCCCCAUAUCCUGUCACUACAUGCCCUUGCAAAAUGUCCUUCUCCAUUUUUUGUAGGUCCCCAUUAGGACCUGGAAGGCCACAAUUAGGUCACCCUGAAGCCUUUUCUUUUCCUGGCUGAGAAAACCCAAGACACUCAGGCUUUCCUCACAGAAGAGGUGCUUCCAUUCCUUUAAUCAUCCUGAAGGCCCUACUCUGGACUGGCUCCAACAGGUCAUUGCUCUUCCUGUGGUAUAUGUGCUAUAAAUUGACAAGGCAGUCAUUAAAGAAGAUGGCAAGAGACAUAAAUAUGAAAAUCAUAGAAUUAUGGAACAGUUUGAUAUCUUUACUGGUCAUCUAGUUCAAACUUCCAUUGCAAUAAGCAAGGACAUCUUAAACUACAAGAGGUUGCUAAGACUCCCAUCCAAUCUGACCAGUAAUGUUUCCAGUGAUGGGAUAAACGCCACCUCUCUGGGCAACCUGCUCCAGGGGCACACCACCAUCACUGUAAUAUACUCCUUCCUUACAUCAAAUCUAAGUUGACCUUCUAUGUGCUUAAAACCACUACCUCUUGUCCUAUUGCAACAGACCCUGAGAAAAUGUUUGUCCACAUCUGUCUCAAAAAGUUCUUUUAAGUACUCAAAGGCUGCAAUGUGGUUUCCCCAGAGCCUUCUCUUCUGCAGACUGAACAACCCCAACUCUUUCAGACAUUUCUCAUAGAAGACAUAUUUCAUCCCUCCAAUCAUCCUCACGGCUCUCCUCCAGAUUCACUCUGACAAGAACUUAUCAUUCCUGUGCUGAGGACAUCAGAGUUGGAUUCAGUAUUUCAGGGGCUUAUUUGUCCUCCCUGCUGAAUUAUCAAUUCUUCCACUCUGGACAGUCCAUUGGCAUUACUGCACCCUAUGCAUAUCACCUGUGUUUGGCUGAUUGAAGAAGAAAGUUCACCAGUGAUGGAUACUAUGUCAAACACUAUUUGCCUAGUCUGCACUUACAAUUAUGCUUCUCUGUGACUUAUAGAAACAGUGCAAAUCCUAAUGGUGAGCUGAACAAUUUCCAUGGUUCAAUUUCAGGAACUCUUCAGGCACAGGAGGAAGCUCAAGUCAGCUCCUUUAGUCAGGUAGCUCUGCAUUAUGUGUCUACAGUCUGGGAGAGUCAGAAAAGUGAUUUUCCAUAUGAUAACAGUUUGGAUUGUGUCUUCUCCUUUCUCUUUGCUCCUCCAUUUCCUUAUCCUCCAGAUUUCACCGAUGCUUUUGGAGACCUGGUGUAGCUGUGGACUUGAAAUAUUGUACUAAACCAUUUACUAAAAGGGCCCCACCAUAGAAAAAAAUCAUAUUUUUAACACAAUAACUUUCCCAUCACUUGCUCACAGAAGGACACAGACUGAAAAAGUACAGGAAGAGUAGUGCAGGGGCAGGAUCAACCAGGUAAAGGCAACAUAUUCUACAAUUAUUCUAUUUUUAUGAUAUAAAGAAUUCUCCGUUCUCGGCCUGUUGUCUCUGCCCGGUUAGGGGUAGAAUGGCCUUGGGACAGCCUGCGCUCCAAAGGACGAGUGCACUCUUCAGAUUUUUCGGUCUUCAAUAUUGUUUAUUAUUUCUUAUCUACAAAGUCAUCUCCCAGCCUGAAAGAGGUCUGCCCAGCAAGACAGCCAUGGGCACACUGACCUCCCACUGGGCGGUCAUCUAUUUUUAUACUAAAAACUACAUAUAAGAUAUUUACCUUUGCCUUCCAAUACCUUUUACCCUUAUUAACAAGUGCACAUUUAAUAUGAACCAAUCCCAAAGUGCCAGCAUCACCACCAAAGAUGGGUGACAAGAAGAAGAGAGAAGAAGGACAAGACAAGCCCUAAUUCCUCCUUCUUGUCUCCUAAAAACCCCCCUGUACCAAAAUCCCACAGCCUGUAUUUUCACCCUGUGAAUAAUCAAUUCCUUCACCACUUAUCCCCAAGUGAUCCUCUUGUCCUCAUACAGGUGGCACAUCCCAUGCAGGGUCAAAAUCCAACCACCUUCUGGCAACAUCCAAGCACUUCUGGCAACAUUCCAGGAUUUCCGAGCCCCCCAGGGGUUAUCUCAGCAACUCUGGACAUCAGGAGUGAUGUGCUGAGUUCCCACAAAGAAUGCCCCUGCUUCUUUUAGAAUUUCAAUUAGAAUUACUUGAUGAAUGUAUUCCCUUAUAUUUGUUUACUAAUGCACCUAUGCAGCUAUUAAGACUUUUUCUUUGGUAGGGCCUUUGGAUAGGGUUUUUUCUCCUGAAAGCUAGACCUUAUUUUUCUUAGUCCUGGAACCCAAGGUUUUAGUGUGCUGUCUUAAGUUUCUUGUAUCAAUUCUAUGCUCUUAGUAAUUUCUUGUGUUUACUGCUUGCCUAAUAUUUUCACAUUUUAUUUCAAAUUUCUUCCUUCACUUUGAUACAAGUGAAAUUUCAUCAAGUUUGUUCUCUGUCUUGAGAGAGGGUGUUCUCUUAUUUCUGGGCCUUGCUUGAACUCAAGAGCAGUUAAUUCCUUUCAAAUAUAUAGUAAAGGUAUGAGAAAUUUUUGCUCUUCCAUUUGGUUUCUCAAGGGAAGUUAUGUUAGUUAUUUUUCUGUUACUUGAACUCUGACAUAUAAGGAAAGUCAUUCAGAAAUCUAAGGAGAAAGCAUUUGAUAUUAUGCUUCCAUUAUGCAUCCUCACCUUUACUGGGAGGAUUUAUUUGUAUGCAAGUUGCCUUUGCCAGCUGAGCAAAGGUAAAGCUCUACAAGCUGGCUGGCAUGGAUGCAACUAUACAAAAUGAAAAUAAUAUAUACUUGUACAGAUUAUGCUUUAUGUGUUCAGAAAAGGUCUUACAGUGUAGUUUUCCUACAUUUGGUCGACACAGGUGCAGUUAAAAAAAUAAUCAUAUUAUUUUAGCUGUAGGCUGAGUCACAUCUAAGCUGUGCAAUAUAAUACUGCCCUUGGUCAGAAUUAGAUGAGAAAAUAUGUUAUGGUGUCAGGUUUAUGCACUGAACUCUAUUUUUUUUUUUUCAGUGCAUGCCAUUAGAUCUCCAUAUCAGGUUUUAGGAUAUAUAGUAAAAAAUUCAACAUUUCAGAAUUCUGAAACAAACUACAAUAGCAAAUAAUAUAUAGUAGAAUAUAUUAUAUAAAUAAUGUCAUAUCAUGACAUUUGAUUGUUUCAUUACUAUCUUUGGCAUAAUACAAAAAAAGGACAUGUUUAAUGAGAAUAUUAAUAGUGUUAUGUUGUAAUAAUUUUGACAAAAGAACAUGAACAUGCUGUGCCAGCAUUUGACAGAAUUCGUGUGACUGUUUUAAUAGGAAACGGCUUUUACAUGCCUCACUGAUACCUGUGCUUGAACCUGUGCUUGUAUGAGGCUCGUCUAGACAAUGAUAUUAAUGGCUUCAGCUAACAUGAGCUACAGACUGGCAAAAAGACAGGAGCUGUCUAGUUUAUGCUCAUUGUAAAGAAAGCAUAGCAGCUUGGAGGAAGUAAUUAAGGCUCAAAAUAAAAGUGAAACCCCUGAGAUUUAUUAGAUGUUCCUUAAUUAGAAUUAUUGGCAUAGUUUUGGAAAUUUAACUGUUACUGGUUGAACACAUAACAAUGACCAGCAGUGCUUUCCUUUUCCUGUACCUACUUAGAAAAUUGCAACCUCUUCUGCCACAUGUGUAUAUUAGAGCUGACCAUUCCUUUACUGUCUCUUCAUUGGGCUACUGAGAAGACUGGCAUGACCAGCAGGGCUAGGGAAACAAUUGUCCUGCUGUGCUCAGCACUGGUGAGGCCACAACUUUAGAACUGUGCUCAGUUUCAGGCCCCUCAUUUCAAAGAGAACAUUGAGGUACUGCUGUCCAGAGCAGCACAACAAAGCUGGGGAGGAUCUGGAGCACAAGUCCUCUGAGGACCAGCUGAGGCAGCUGGGGCUGUUUGGUGUGGACAAAAGGAGGCUUAGAAGAGACCUCACUGCUCUCUAAAUUACCUGAAAGGAAACUGCAGCGAUGUGGUGCUUCAUCUCUUCUGCCAUAUUUCAAGUGAAAAGAUGAGAAAAAAUGACCUUAGAUUGUGCCAGGGGAGGUUCAGAUUAGAUAUUGAAAAGUUAUUUUUUUUCACUGAAAGGGUUGUCAAAGCAUUGGAAUGGGCUGCACAGAAAAGUGAAGGAGUUACCAUCUCUGGCAGUGUUCAGGUGGUAUCUGUAUGUGGCACUUGGACAUCUGGUUUCGGGGUGAUUAUGGUGAUAAUUGGUUGACAGCUGACGGUGUGAUUUUGAAGGUGUCUUCCAGUCUUGGCUAUUCUGUGAUUCUAAUUACUCUCUGUAAAAAUAUUACUAUUGCAAUUAUUCAGAGACUGAAGCUGGACUUGGAUGUGCUGCUCACAUGACAUUUGUGCCAGGUUAAAACAUUUUGUUCCUAUCCCACUCAUCUCUCUUUUCCUAUUUUUCUUAUUUACUUCCCUUUAGAAGACCAUGUUCUACCUAAGGGAAGAAAACCUUGCUAUUGUUAAAUAUUCAAGACUUUUUUGAUUAUCUAGACAGAAUCCUUUUAGAGAGUUAUGAUACAUGUACAUCUGCCAGCAAAGCAGAGGAGGUCAAAUUAGGAAGUGGUGAGUCUCCAUCUAUGACCUGGGGAAGAUAAUCUGUUUGUAGAACUCCGCUGCAGCCAGACAAGUUUGCCUGACCAAUCUGAUGUGGUCCGUAGUGACUUCAGUAAUUUGGAUACUUUGCAGAGCACUGACUAUGCCUUCUUUUCCAGAUGGUGUUUAUUUUGACUUUAAUAUACAAAUUGAGCUACACAUUUCCUUACCAGAAAGAU